rnacentral:misc_RNA from 1 species
GAUGAAGAACGUAGCGAACUGCGAUAAGUAAUGUGAAUUGCAGAAUUCAGUGAAUCAUCGAGUCUUUGAACGCACAUUGCGCCCCCUGGCAUUCCGGGGGGCAUGCCUGUCCGAGCGUCAUUGCUGCCCUUCAAGCCCGGCUUGUGUGUGGGGUCGUCGUCCCCCCCGGGGGACGGGCCCGAAAGGCAGCGGCGGCACCGCGUCCGGUCCUCGAGCGUAUGGGGCUUUGUCACCCGCUCGAUUAGGGCCGGCCGGGCGCCAGCCGGCGUCUCCAACCUUCUAUUUUACCAGGUUGACCUCGGAUCAGGUAGGGAUACCCGCUGAACUUAAGCAUAUCAAUAAGCGGAGGA